rnacentral:rRNA from 1 species
CCUACGGGAGGCAGCAGUGGGGAAUAUUGGACAAUGGGGGGAACCCUGAUCCAGCGACGCCGCGUGAGUGAAGAAGUAUUUCGGUAUGUAAAGCUCUAUCAGCAGGGAAGAAAGAAAUGACGGUACCUGACUACGAAGCCCCGGCUAACUACGUGCCAGCAGCCGCGGUAAUACGUAGGGGGCAAGCGUUAUCCGGAUUUACUGGGUGUAAAGGGAGCGUAGACGGCGAUGCAAGUCUGAAGUGAAAGGCGGGGGCCCAACCCCCGGACUGCUUUGGAAACUGUAUGGCUGGAGUGCAGGAGAGGAGAGUGGAAUUCCUAGUGUAGCGGUGAAAUGCGUAGAUAUUAGGAGGAACACCAGUGGCGAAGGCGGCUUACUGGACUGUAACUGACGUUGAGGCUCGAAAGCGUGGGGAGCAAACAGGAUUAGAUACCCUAGUAGUC